rnacentral:lncRNA from 1 species
CUUGUACAACUAUACAUCAUAAAUGAAUUGUCCUGAGUCAGUUCAACCUAUAAUAACAAUAAACACAACAUAGGAUUUACCGGGAUUACAACAGAUUAGUAUGUUAUGGACUUUGGACUUUCAUAGGUAAUUAAAACAUUUCAUUCUCUGAACCAAUAUCAAUUCUAUGACACAUAUGUGUGACUGAUAUUUUUAUGUAUACUUGUAAACCUAGCUUCCCUAAAGUCAUAAUUCCUAAGAAUUCUCAUUAAUAACUGAAUGAACAGGAACUGCAUUCUCUAUUAUAGCAUGCCCUUGCAUGAUUUCUUACUGGGACAGCAUGUCGAUUGAAGGAAUAGUCAAAUUCAAUGGCAUUUACAAAUUACAGUCACAUAAAAAAUUUCAUUAUUAUACAUGACACCACUACUACGAAAGUCUAAAAAUUCAUAACACACUGAUCAACAAUAAUUAACAUUAUUUGACAAUAAUAUCACAUUCUAAAGCAAAACUGAUUACCAAAAAAUCUAAAACAAUUAAUAUAUACAGCUAAAUAUUUACAGCUCCUCAAAAACAUUACAAAUCUUACAAUCAGAUCUGUAUUAACAAUUCUCAGAGUAAACAAUGAUAAACAAUUAUCCAAACCAAAACAAAGGUACCAGUAGAACAAAAAGGAAGUAAGGAUUUCUUUUUCUAUUUUUAACAAUACUUGUAUUGUUCGCCAAUGAUGUAUCAGUAGAUAUUAGUUUGACUAAGGACUUCCAACUGUUUCAAUUUUAAAUAUAGCAUACUUGUUAGAAAUAAUUGAGAGAAAAAAAAAACACAAUGGUAAUAUUAAAAUGAUUCCAAACAGAAAAUAAACUUUUUAAAUUUUUAAAUUAAAAAUGUAUUUUUUCGUUAUUUUGUUUUGGAAGUCCAUCACAUAAAAAGCACUCCACACUGAAAUCAAUUUCCAAAUACUAUACUGUUCUCUACAAUACUGUUUCGUUUUACAGUUAGAUAUACAACACAGUCUUCUAAGUCAACAUUUUGGCAAUAGUUUUUUUUUUAAUUGUCAAAAUCAAACAUUUCAGAGAGGUGUCUUUAUAUACAUUAUAUAAACUAAGUUUUAAUAUAUAUUUCGAAUGAUAAUGAUGAGAACACAGAAUUCCAUCUAAGGUCAACAUCUUUAAGUAAUAUCAAUUAACUGUAAAGCUGUGUUAAUACAAAGAUCACAUGUACUGUAACAACAAUAUAUUUUGCCAUGAUGUUCACCAACAAAUACAAUAAAAAUAAUUCCCUGUUCUAAACGAUACGCUCAAAAUAAAUAUAACAUGAGGUAAUAUCUAAACAAUAGUGAUAUGGUUAGCACAACAACAUAAAGCACCAACAUAAUAGGCCAUUCAGUUAUACCAUGCAAGUAUAACAAACAACCAGUUCUUCCUGAAGAAAAAUAAAAAACAAAAAAAAAGCCCUAUAAUAAAAAAGCAAAACUGGUUUUAAAGCUUAACUUUUAGAUUUGUGAACCUUUCGGAAUACACAUCACCAAUACCAUGAGCUGCCAAAUUUGAGCAGGCACAUCAUUGUUUUAGUUAUGUCUUGUUUUAUUUUGUCAUUCUCACCUUAAAGAGAAACCAAAGCUUGUUUUAGAUAUAAGAAAUCUAUCGCCCUUUCAUAAAUAAAACUUAGCGAAAAUGUGAACUACACACACCAGUUUUUUAACAUUUAGAUAGUACACUACUCAUAACAAAAAUAUCUACUUAAACUAUUCCCAAUAAAUGCAGAUUUUGUUUUGUACCACUGGCAAUUUUUUUUAAAUAAUAAUAAAAUGAGCAUUGCCAAUAGAUGAAAAUGACAUAAUAAUCUGAAUUUAAGGCACAUUGUGUUUUGAUUUCAAUAUUAGGUUUAAUUACUUUUCCUAGUUCUUUAUACUUCUUAAAUAAAUCAUCAUGUCUUCUCUUAAAUAAGUUUUAAUGGAGAGCAUCCUAUUCUAAUUUUAAUGUCUGUCUCACUCAACCAAUCACUAAUAAUAUACAAAAGAAUCAUUAAUGUUGUUGUCUAUAAUGCAUCUUAUUUAUGAGGUAAAAUU